ACAGCCUACACAAUGACCCCCUCUUGAAGUUAAGCUAAUAAUUUGCCGUUGAUUACAUAAUCCAAAAAACCCGUUGGUGAUUCCAGUGAACGGUCAACCUCCGUGAGCAGGCGCGUCGUCUUUCCACGGCGUUACAAAUAGCACGGUAUCAUCCACGCUUCCAAAAACAAGAUUACCUUCUGUAACUUUUUGGUUCUUUCGGUAAAGUCACGUAGAAAGGAAAUUAAUUAAAUAAUAGAACACUGACGCUUCGAUUGCAACACAAGCAAUCAUCAUCAGGCCCCAAUGGCAAGGCAAAAUCUUCACAGUUGCUGUAAACGCCACUGACCCCCUCCUUCUGAACACAGCGAUUGAGCCACUCCACAUUCACAAAAAAGAUAUCCGCAAGUACCCGGGCAACACCAGGCACAACACCGCUCGCAUGGACUUUGGCUUGCUGCCUGCAUUGGGAGCAGCGAUGGCCCUUUGUGAACGCCUCCAGAGCGGCUCAGCAGGGAGUUUCCGUGGCGUCCAACAAAGGGUGCCCCGCCUUGUAUUGCUCCCUGCUAGAGGGGAGCGGUGGUGCCGUGGUCAGCGCGCUGCGCUACAAACCCGGCGGGCCGAGUUUGAUUCCCGCUGACGGCCAACACUAGUGGCAAUUAUUUGAGCCAGUCCUGGGCCUCCCCUAGGUCGACUCAGUCUCAAAAAUGAGUACCUAGUGCGGUGUGUAGUAAACAUCACCACUGGGGAGACAAAUGCGGCCGGACGUGAUGCUGGCCCUUCACCCCCUUGUGUGCCAUGCCGGCCUUCAUAGGUGCUCGCUAACAGCACUUAUCAAAAUAGUCUGUUGAAGCUACAGGAGGGACCUUUGUCGUUCUUAAUAAACAUUGUUGCUGAGCGUAGACCGAAACGUAAAGAGGCCAGGAACAACCAGCAUUCUCAAAGGUGUGACAGAUAUGAGUUAAUGUUUCUUAAAUUAAGCAAAGAUAUUAGGGGCUUGGGGAUAAGCGAUAAUGGGAGAGCAUUCCAAAAGUCGAGCGGUGGAAGGGAUAGAAGCCAGAAAGAGAAGUGUUGUGACCUGCAGUGUGGUGAGUGGGUGAGUGUGUUGUUGUGACCUGCAGUGUGGUGAGUGGGUGAGUGUGUUGUUGUGACCUGCAGUGUGGUGAGUGAGUGUGUUGUUGUGACCUGCAGUGUGGUGAGUGGGUGAGUGUGUUGUUGUGACCUGCAGUGUGGUGAGUGGGUGAGUGUGUUGUUGUGACCUGCAGUGUGGUGAGUGAGUGUGUUGUUGUGACCUGCAGUGUGGUGAGUGGGUGAGUGUGUUGUUGUGACCUGCAGUAUGGUGAGUGAGUGUGUUGUUGUGACCUGCAGUGUGGUGAGUGGGUGAGUGUGUUGUUGUGACCUGCAGUGUGGUGAGUGGGUGAGUGUGUUGUUGUGACCUGCAGUGUGGUGAGUGGGUGAGUGAGUUGUUGUGACCUGCAGUGUGGUGAGUGGGUGGGUGAGUUGUUGUGACCUGCAGUGUGGUGAGUGGGUGAGUGUGUUGUUGUGACCUGCAGUGU